rnacentral:lncRNA from 1 species
UCGAACGGGAUCUGGCGGGAGCGGCGCGGGCUGCCAAGGGCUGGAGUCCGCGAGCACCGAGAGCCGGGCCAUGGGCAACGCCGAGUCCGUCCUGCUGGACACCGCCAUCCGCGUGGGCAGCGGCAGCCAGGGCGCGGCAACACAGACUUCUGUACAGAGUGGUAGUGAUGAUAGCCUCAGAAGAUCAUGGUUCACUUACUCCUGCACACUUUACAUCGAUGAUACGCUACCUUCAGAAAGGCUGCAAGGAGUGAACGUGGAAAUGGGACCGGCCCCAUAACUGCAUCCCAGGUCCAGGUCCCGCCCUCAAGUCUGAGGCAAGUCCAGCUCCAGAUCCAAUCUUUGUGGGCUGGCCCGCUCUCCAGUGCUUUGUUUGAUCCCAGCCCCUUCGUGCAAGGGUGGCCUGUUCCCCAUAAUGCCCUUUCUGUUACGAGAAUGUUAGUGGUGCAGCUCUCUCACCACAGCGUUCCUCAGCAAUGACAGCGUUUGGCUGUGUGGUAUGAGCAGCUUGAAAGAUGCUUUACUGUGGCUCAGCCCCAAAGACAGCUCUUCUGGCCCUCCCUCCCUUACUGCAGCCUGAAAGGUUUCUAUAGACAGGGCAUAGUAAUGGGGAGCUGGCACCCUGCAUCCAGAGUCUUCCUGGUCUUUAAGAGCAUGGAACUACUGAAGAAACUCAGCUAGGGCCAGUCACUUCCCCAUUGCUUCAGUAACUGAUGCACCCAAUGAUUCCCACAAUGACUAUCCCACAGUCCUGUGCAUCUCUGUAGCAAGAAAUCUCCUUGCUAUUCAGUCUAAUUCCUCUAAGCUUCAUCUUCAGUCUUAGUCAUUCCUCCUAAACCACUUGCAGAAUUCGGAUCUUGCUCUCUCUACUGGUGUCUGCACCGUUCGGCUUUGUUCCCAUAGCUGUAGCCUUGGAGUUGGGCAGGUAUCAGGGUGUGGAUGCACAUCUGUUGGAGCCAUUUCAAAAGGGCCACAGCUGUCACAUUCCAAUCCUUCCAUGUGAACAAGUUCAACAGUACAACUGUUGGAAAACACUUUAAUACUGGAUGAAGUGGUAUUAAAGUUGGAGCGGUUCUGCUAUGUUUGCAUUGUUCCCAUUUGUCCACAAGUAACGAUUAGACCACGACAGCUGCGGCCCUUUUGAAACAUUCCCCUUUGAAACAGCUCUGAGUCUAUGUGCGUGCCUACACUCAGAAGAGAGGUGGUUUGCCAGCCAGCCAGUAGAAAUGAACAUCUAUCGCUAGGGUGCAGUGUAGGCUAAGAAAGAGGAUUGUGUUAGC